rnacentral:lncRNA from 1 species
AUGCCAGUGGAAUGUGUGUGGGCAAUGGAGGGCACGGGCAGGGUGGGGCCGAGGGGGGAACUGGAGGUGCCAGUUAGGUGGCUUUCUGAGCCAGGGGUGGGGGUGUGCCGGGGCGGGGGUGUGUGCCCUGUACUCCUACCAGGCUUUAAGCUGCAGCAUGCAUGUGCCUGUGUGUGUGUAUGUGCAUGUGUGUGUGUGUGUGUGUGUGUGUCUAUUUGGGAUACCCAAGCUCCAGGCACCCUGCACACACUGCCCCCUGCCCCCCAGCCCGUUCCUUUCUCUCCUUGCCUCAAGGAUACGGGACACUUCCUGUGGUCCUCAACUCCAACUCAGCAUCUGAGGAGUGACAGCAAGGGCAGGAGCCUCAGACCUGAGGGACUGCAACCCCCCUGGACUCACGGUCAUCUCAGCUUCUUGCCCUGGAGACCCCUCCUCCUCCUGGGGCUGCCCUGUCCCCCCCAACCAGGCGUCGGUUCUCUUACCCUCCGGCCACCUGCAGAGAUGCCCUCCUACAUUCUGGGUCAGGCCGAGGGACCUGGGCUGUCACUGGUGAAGACAGAGGGCCGGUCAGGGGGGGCGCCCAGGUCGCCGCCGCCCUCCUGCUCUUCCCCCCUUUGCUUUGGGCUCCCCGGGAGGGCGAGGACUCCCAGGACCCCCCUCCCGGCCGGAGGGGGCCAAGUGGGCGGGAUGCAGAGCCGCGCCUUGGGGGCCCCCAGCCCCCCCCCCCAGUCCACCGGCCUCCGAGCCGCGGCGCCCCGGGCCUGGCGGGCUCCGGCCCUUCCGACGGCCCGGCCGGGAGGAGGCGCUGGGGCCGCUCGGGCUCCGGGACCCCGCGGACGGCGAGGGCGGCCCUUCCACGCCCGGCAGCUCCCGCGUGGGCCCGACCCCGCCGCCCGCCGCCCGCCGCCCGCCGCCCCGGCCUGCUCCCCGCCCGGCUCACCUGCACGGGAGGCGGGGGCGAGCCCGGGCCCGGUCGCGUCGGGCGCCCCGGGAUGCGGCGGGGGCCGGGGCCGGGGCCGCGGCGGCGGGGGCCGGGGGGGCGCGGGCUCUAGGCUGGGACAGUCCCGGGGCCUCUCGGAGCCCGCCCGCCCACGUGACCGCCCCAAAAUAUCCGACACAUUUUCUCCCAAACCGCACACUGACUCUGCAGGCGGGGACACGGAAAAUAUUUUCUUUCUUUUUCUCCCUCCCCACCCCCCCUCCCUCCUCCCCCUCCCGCCCUCGCUCCUCCCUCCCCUGCCGCCUGCCCCUGCCCGGCUCCCUCCUCGGUGCCCCGGGGCCGGGGGCGGGGCGGGGCGGCCCGGGACGCCUGGGUCCCUGCCCUCCCGGCUCGCCCCCCCCCCCCCGGAGGCCGGGCCAAGCUGGCCCAAGCGCUCGGCGUGGCCCGGGAUGCCACCCUGCCCUGGCACCUCUCCCCUUCCUGCCAUCGAGGGGACCGGCCGGGUUGUCCGCGGCUGCGUGGUUGAGCGAGGCCGGGCUCUGCUGCCUGCCGAGGGGAGGCCAAGGCGCAGCAGUGAUGCCCCAGGGCAUGACCCCGGUGCCACCGUCUUUACCCUUCGCUUGGCCUCCCCGCAGGCCCUGGGGGGCUCCACUUCCGCCGGCCUGUCCCAGGUGGUCCUCGGUGCCAGGAGCAAACUGCUUUAA